rnacentral:lncRNA from 1 species
UUAUAAGUUCUUCAUCGUAUAAAUAUGAGAUCAAUUCAAUGUAAUUUCUAAGUUAUAGAAAUUACUAUUUACUAAGCAUUUUAGUACUGUAAUUUUUGACUUAUAGACUUACAGUUGCCCAACUUUAAUAUCAACCAGAACCUAAUUUAAGUGAUUUUGAUAACCUAAAUUUUAAUUUUGAUUUUGGAGGCGACGAAAUAAAAAAGUACCAAAUUUGAAGCGACGAUAAUUUAAGUGCAAGUUUGAAAGGGCCAAAACCCACUAUUUAUAAUUGCAUAAAUUUCAGUUAAUACCCUGAUCUUUCCUGAAUCCUCCAAACAGCACCUCAAUGAAAAAACAAUGUAUCACGUGCUAAAGCCACAAGCUGUUAAUACAAGUGUUUGCAUGCUUUCCUUAAACCAAUACUAUAAUUUUCUUAUUUUUACUUCAUUUAAAAAGUAGAAUUGGGAAAAUCUAAAUUAAUUUUUUAACCGUUUAUUAGCUAAAAAUUCAAACUCAAAUCACCAAUAUGAAAAAAGCUGCUUCAUUGCGGCGGAGGGAAGCGACUCGCAUGGUUGGGAGGCUAGGUGUAUAAUUAGCUAUAUUGGCCCAUUAGAAAAGUUGGAUGUUGAUGGCUUGUACGCGUAAUGAUUUUAAUUGGGGAAAAUGAUAAUGAAAUUGAAUGCGGACAGAAUGCUGCUAUCAAUACAUUAGUCUUUAACCAGGCAUGGAAAGUUAGGAUUUGAAUUUAUAUAAAAAUGGGCUCAUAAAUGAAAAUAAACCAUUUUCACGCAAU